rnacentral:rRNA from 1 species
GAUGAACGCUAGCGGCAGGCUUAAUACAUGCAAGUCGUGGGGCAGCAGGUUUGUAGCAAUACAGAUGCUGGCGACCGGCAAACGGGUGCGGAACACGUACAGAACCUUCCUUUGGGCGGGGAAUAGCCCAGAGAAAUUUGGAUUAAUACCCCCAUAGUAUAAUGAAGUGGCAUCACUUUAUUAUUAAAGAUUUAUCACUCGAAGAUGGCUGUGCGGCUGAUUAGGUAGUUGGCGGGGUAAAGGCCCACCAAGCCUGCGAUCAGUAACUGGUGUGAGAGCACGACCAGUCACACGGGCACUGAGACACGGGCCCGACUCCUACGGGAGGCAGCAGUAAGGAAUAUUGGUCAAUGGAGGCAACUCUGAACCAGCCAUGCCGCGUGGAGGAUGAAGGUCCUCUGGAUUGUAAACUUCCUUUAUAUGGGCGAAAAAAGGCUUUUCUAAGUCGUCUGACGGUACCAUAUGAAUAAGCACCGGCUAACUCCGUGCCAGCAGCCGCGGUAA